rfam:Bacillus coagulans 36D1, complete genome.
AUAACUGAACCGCUUAAUCCGGAAACGGAACGGGGGAACCAGGUUGGCGGCCGCGCGCCGCUUUGGGGUGAAGCCUUUUUUAAAAAGGCAGGGCCACUCUUAUGCCCGAACCCGACAGCUAACCCCGUCAGCGUUAUAAGAGAGGAUGU